AGAACGAACGCUGGCGGCAUGCCUAACACAUGCAAGUCGAACGAGGUUUCCGCUUCGGUGGUUUCCUAGUGGCGCACGGGUGAGUAACGCGUGGGAACCUGCCCUGUGGUACGGAAUAACUCCGGGAAACUGGAGCUAAUACCGUAUGUGUCCUGCGGGACAAAGAUUUAUCGCCAUGGGAUGGGCCCGCGUAGGAUUAGCUUGUUGGUGAGGUAACGGCUCACCAAGGCUUCGAUCCUUAGCUGGUCUGAGAGGAUGAUCAGCCACACUGGGACUGAGACACGGCCCAGACUCCUACGGGAGGCAGCAGUGGGGAAUAUUGGACAAUGGGCGCAAGCCUGAUCCAGCAAUGCCGCGUGAGUGAUGAAGGCCUUCGGGUUGUAAAGCUCUUUCGCACGCGACGAUGAUGACGGUAGCGUGAGAAGAAGCCCGGCUAACUUCGUGCCAGCAGCCGC
rnacentral:rRNA from 1 species